CUGAAGUUCUAGCGUCAUCUCUCUGUGAAUUAAGAGACCUGGAGACGCUUAAACUGCUCCAUAUGAACUCAUUCGAUGAGGCUUAUGAUUUGGAUUUCGUUUGUAAUUUCAUUCAUCUAAGGCAUCUAGUGCUGGAGAUACGUAUGACAAGGCUUCCUGAUCACUCUCGAUUGCCUCCCCACCUUGCACACAUAUCUCUACGUAUAUGUAAAAUGGAUGAGGAUCCACUGCAGAUUCUGGAAAAGUUGCUUCAUUUAAAUUCGGUUGUAUUACGUUACAGAUCUUUCGAUGGGAGGAAGAUGGUGUGUUCAAAAGGGGGAUUCCCCCAAUUAUGUAAGCUAGAAAUAUCGUUCCUAUACGACUUGGAAGAGUGGAUAGUCGAAGAAGGGUCGAUGCCAUGUCUUCGUACCUUGUCUAUACGGUUAUGUGAAAAGUUGAAGGAGUUACCGGAAGGGCUCAAGUAUAUCACUUCUUUAAAGGAACUGAAAAUCGUCACAUGUGAGAACAAAGAGUGGAAGACGACACUCGUACCCGGUGGGGAAAGUUACCACAAAGUCCAACACAUUCCUAGUGUUCAAUUACAGUAUGAUGGCGAGGAAUAAGGAGAAUAAAACGUUCUCAGGUGAACCUACUCAGAAUCAGUACCCACUAUUGACUGUGUGAUGUGAUAAUACGUCGUUUUCUUGUUGUAUUGGUGUUUUAAAGUUGACAUAUCUUGUCUGCAAUAUUCCGUUUAUCUGUUGGAUGCUCAUUCACUGUAAUGCUAAGUUUGAAAUACAUUUGUAUGUUUAGUUGACUUGUUUAGUCGGAACUGGAGAUAGAACGAUGCUUUGAUAGA